GAAAUACGAUAAGUAAUGUGAAUUGCAGAAUUCAGUGAAUCAUCGAAUCUUUGAACGCACCUUGCGCUCCUUGGUAUUCCUUGGAGCAUGCCUGUUUGAGUAUCAUGAAAUCUUCAAAGUAAAUCUUUUGUUAACUCAAUUGGUUUCUACUUUGGUAUUGGAGGUCUUUGCAGCUUCACACCUGCUCCUCUUUGUUCAUUAGCUGGAUCUCAGUGUUAUGCUUGGUUCCACUCGGCGUGAUAAGUUAUCUAUCGCUGAGGACACUGUAAAAGGUGGCCAAGGUAAAUGCAGAUGAACCGCUUCUAAUAGUCCAUUGACUUGGACAAUACUUUUAUGAUCUGAUCUCAAAUCAGGUGGGACUACCCGCUGAACUUAAGC
rnacentral:misc_RNA from 1 species